UGGGGGAUAUUGCACAAUGGGCGAAAGCCUGAUGCAGCGACGCCGCGUGGGGGAUGAAGGCCUUCGGGUUGUAAACUUCUUUUGCUCUGAACAAGGCAUGCUAAUGGGUGUGUUGAGUGUAGGGGUUGAUUAGCGCCGGCUAACUACGUUCCAGCAGCCGCGGUAAUACGUAGGGCGCGAGCGUUGUCCGGAAUUAUUGGGCGUAAAGGGCUUGUAGGUGGCUGGUUGCGUCUGUCGUGAAAGGUCAUGGCUUAACUGUGGGUUUGCGGUGGGUACGGGCUGGCUUGAGUGCAGUAGGGGAGGCUGGAAUUCCUGGUGUAGCGGUGGAAUGCGCAGAUAUCAGGAGGAAUACCGGUGGCGAAGGCGGGUCUCUAGGCUGUUACUGACACUGAGGAGCGAAAGCAUGGGGAGCGAACAGG
rnacentral:rRNA from 1 species